CGAAGAGCUUCUGAGGGACCUAGCCGCUGUCAAUGUGUGCUUCCAAACUGAGCACUCCGUGAAGCCAAAAGGCAGGCUGAUGUUCAGCACUCAGCGCGGACAUGUGGUCGUGAAUGAAGACAUGCCUUUUAAGGUUGUCCAAGCCGUGGACAGAGGCUGCCUCUUUGGGCGAGACCUUCACAAGGUGCAAGAUUCAAGAAGUGCUCGACAGGAGAAAGACGCAGAAUGGUCAGCAGCUACCUUCCAACGAAAAAAGGUGAAGUUACAAGGAACGAAGAAGAAGGGCUGCACUGCAAUGAUGCAUGUAAAACAAGUGGAGUUGUUUCCGGAAUUCAGGGUAAGCA